rnacentral:rRNA from 1 species
AGGAGUGGCGAACGGGUGAGUAACACGUGGGUAACCUGCCCAUCAGAAGGGGAUAACACUUGGAAACAGGUGCUAAUACCGUAUAACAAUCGAAACCGCAUGGUUUCGUUUUGAAAGGCGCUUUACGGUGCCGCUGAUGGAUGGACCCGCGGUGCAUUAGCUAGUUGGUGAGGUAACGGCUCACCAAGGCCACGAUGCAUAGCCGACCUGAGAGGGUGAUCGGCCACAUUGGGACUGAGACACGGCCCAAACUCCUACGGGAGGCAGCAGUAGGGAAUCUUCGGCAAUGGACGAAAGUCUGACCGAGCAACGCCGCGUGAGUGAAGAAGGUUUUCGGAUCGUAAAACUCUGUUGUUAGAGAAGAACAAGGGUGAGAGUAACUGUUCACCCCUUGACGGUAUCUAACCAGAAAGCCACGGCUAACUACGUGCCAGCAGCCGCGGUAAUACGUAGGUGGCAAGCGUUGUCCGGAUUUAUUGGGCGUAAAGCGAGCGCAGGCGGUUUCUUAAGUCUGAUGUGAAAGCCCCCGGCUCAACCGGGGAGGGUCAUUGGAAACUGGGAG